AAAAAAAAGGUUGUGCGAAAAUCAAUUCCCACAACUUACAAAGCUAAAGCAUUAUUUUACUUAAAUUUCCAGAUUCCGAGUCAUGCAAGUAAGGUAAGAUCUAAACCCACAGUUAGAGAUAAUUAUGCAAAAGGCUAACCAGUCCCAUAACCUAUGACACACCCCGUCCCAAAGGAGGGCAUGCUGGCCGUCACGUGAGAGUGACGUAACCAUUUGCACAGUACGGAAGCUUUAAGAUACAAUUUAUAAGUUGAUACACCCGAAGGUGAGUCCUAAUUUUGUCCAUUCUGUCAGAACACCGUCGAAUUCCUCGUAGUCACCACACCUUUGUGAUUCCUGAACCUGGAGGGGCGCAAAACCAAAAUUGAGUGGGUCAGUAAAACAAUUCUUCUCCAAAUCCAAACAUUUCUCAAAACGUUGUAACCCCUCUCCGUAAAACCUGUAUACUUUCCCAGAAAUGUAAAAUAUAAAUAUACAUAUAUAUUCUCAAAACUUCAUUUUUACUAUCUCAACAUUUUCUUUAUCAAUCAUGCCAUGCCAUGUCUAAUUCAACAGUUAAGUAUGGAUGCAUCAACAAUAAUCAUAUCAGGUGCAAGAAAGUAAUCAACCGGAGGCCCUCUAAUAGCCCUGUACGGUUGAAUCUAGAGCUCAAAAUCUAUCACUAUCACUCUGCCGGAGUCACCUCUGUGACCUGUACGGCCUUCUGCACAUAAGUUACGCUCUAGUGCUUUCUCAUCAAUCAUCUGUGCACAUAAUCUAAGGUCACCCACCAGUCGAAAUCUCACUAACACUCUUCGACUGGCCCGUCGCACCCACUCCGCGUGGACUGUGCGACCAGCAUCUACUUGGAUCCAAGGCGAGCGUGCGAUGCGGUGAAUACUAUAAGCACUAAACUAUGGUGCAGGAUUUGAGCUCAAUAUACAUCAACAUCAUCAUAACAGUAAUUAAAUACUCACCUGAUACUCACCUGUGCGUCCGCCGCACCAUUCAUUCAUAUGCAUCAUAUCUCAAUUCAUACUUUUCAUAUCAUUUCAUGCAUGGCAAUUCGAUUCACAUUUCUAUAUACUUUGCAUAUAAUUUUAUGCAUGGCAUCUCAAUUCACAUCUCAAUAUACUUUUCAUAUAAUUUUAUGCAUUGCAUUUAAAGCAUAAUUUCAUGCAUUUUCAAUUUCUGGGAAAACGGUAAGUAUAUAUGUAUACGGAAAACAAAACUGCCCACUCACCUGGAGUUCGCCCUACAACUCCCUAGCACAAUACGCCAAGGCGUCAUGACGAUCGGCGCCUAAAACAAUAAUCAAUUCCAACCUCAGAAUUCAUAUCGAUAGAAUAUAUA
rnacentral:lncRNA from 1 species